UACGGAGGGUGCAAGCGUUAUCCGGAUUCACUGGGUUUAAAGGGCUCGUAGGCGGCGUGUCGCGUCGGGAGUGAAAGCCCGUUGCUUAACGGCGGGUUGGCUUUCGGUACGGGCAUGCUGGAGUGCGGCAGGGGAGACUGGAAUUCCUGGUGUAGCGGUGGAAUGCGCAGAUAUCAGGAGGAACACCGGUGGCGAAGGCGGGUCUCUGGGCCGUUACUGACGCUGAGGAGCGAAAGCGUGGGGAGCGAACAGG
rnacentral:rRNA from 1 species